rnacentral:rRNA from 1 species
GACAGAGGAUGCAAGCGUUAUCCGGAAUCACUGGGCGUAAAGCGUCUGUAGGUGGUUUAAUAAGUCAACUGUUAAAUCUUGAGGCUCAACUUCAAAAUCGCAGUCGAAACUAUUAAGACUAGAGUAUAGUAGGGGUAAAGGGAAUUUCCAGUGGAGCGGUGGAAAUGCGUAGAGAUUGGAAAGAACACCAACGGCGAAAGCAACUCUCGCUGGGACCGACACUGACACUGAGAGACGAAAGCUAGGGGAGCGAAUGGG